AUAUAGAUAAACUAAAUUUAAGUUAUAAGGUUCAUACCCUUAUUAUAGAUUUUAAAUCUUCUAUGUA
rnacentral:tRNA from 1 species